AAGCAAGCGGUCUUUGGUCGACCGGAAUAUAAGCAAGACUGCCAUGCUAGCUGACUUCCUACUCAAUGCUCUGCCACCACGUUGGCCUUCCCCGGGUGAUAUAAAAUGGUAACAUCAUAAUCCUUCAACAACUCGAACUACCUUCUCUGCCUCAAAUUCAAUUCCUUUUGCUUGAACAAGUACUGAAGGCUCUUGUGAUCAG
rnacentral:lncRNA from 1 species